GACGAACGCUGGCGGCGUGCCUAAUACAUGCAAGUAGAACGCUGAAGGAGGAGCUUGCUCUUCUGGAUGAGUUGCGAACGGGUGAGUAACGCGUAGGUAACCUGCCUGGUAGCGGGGGAUAACUAUUGGAAACGAUAGCUAAUACCGCAUAAGAGUAGAUGUUGCAUGACAUUUGCUUAAAAGGUGCAAUUGCAUCACUACCAGAUGGACCUGCGUUGUAUUAGCUAGUUGGUGGGGUAACGGCUCACCAAGGCGACGAUACAUAGCCGACCUGGGAGGGGGAUCGGCCACACUGGGACUGGGACACGGCCCAGACUCCUACGGGAGGCAGCAGUAGGGAAUCUUCGGCAAUGGACGGAAGUCUGACCGAGCAACGCCGCGUGAGUGAAGAAGGUUUGCGGAUCGUAAAGCUCUGUUGUAAGAGAAGAACGAGUGUGAGAGUGGAAAGUUCACACUGUGACGGUAUCUUACCAGAAAGGGACGGCUAACUACGUG
rnacentral:rRNA from 1 species